rnacentral:misc_RNA from 1 species
UGUUCGAGCGUCAGUACAACACUCAAGCUCUGCUUGGUCUUGGGCCCUGCCGGCAACGGCUGGCCUUAAAAUCAGUGGCGGCGCCAUUGGGCUCUAAGCGUAGUAAUACUUCUCGCUACAGGGUCCCGGUGGAUGCUGGCCAGCAACCCCAACUUUCUUAGUUUGACCUCGGAUCAGGUAGGGAUACCCGCUGAACUUAA